GACGAACGCUGGCGGCGUGCUUAACACAUGCAAGUCGAACGGAAAGGCCCUGCUUUUGUUGGGUGCUCGAGUGGCGAACGGGGGAGUAACACGUGAGUAACCUGCCCUUGACUUUCGGAGAACUUCAGGAAACUGGGGCUAUUACCGCAUAGGAGCUCCUGCUGCAUGGUGGGCGUUGGUGAGUGUCGGCGGUUGGGGAUGGUCUGGCUGCUUAUGAGCUUGUUGGUGAGGUAGUGGCUUACCAGGCCUUUGACGGGUAGCCUGCCUGGGAGGUGGAACGGGGACAUGGGGCCUACGAUACGGAGCAGACUCGUACGGGAGGCAGCAGGGGGGAAUAUUGCACAAUGGGCGGAAGUCUGAGACAAAGACCCCGGGUGCGGAAUAACCGCCUUCGGGGUAUAAACCGCUGUCGACUGUGACGAGGCGUGAGUGACGGUAAUGGAUAAAGAAGCACCGGCUAACUACGUG
rnacentral:rRNA from 1 species